rnacentral:lncRNA from 1 species
ACUAUAUACAGGGGGUACCGGUACAGAGUCAAUGUGGAGACUAUAUACAGGGGGUACCGGUACAGAGUCAAUGUGGAGACUAUAUACAGGGUGUUACAGUACAGAGUCAAUGUGGAGGCUAUAUACAGGGGGUACCGGUACAGAGUCAAUGUGGAGGCUAUAUACAGGGGGUAAUGGUACAGAGUCAAUGUGGAGGCUAUAUACAGGGGGUACCGGUACAGAGUCAAUGUGGAGGCUAUAUACAGGGUACCGGUACAGAGUCAAUGUGGAGGCUAUAUACAGGGGGUACCGGUACAGAGUCAAUGUGG